CCUCCCUGCACUUUUCAGAUUGCUUCAAAACAACCAGAACUUCCUGUUAGAAAUUAAACAUGAUGCCAGGAGGUUCAUUUGUGUGGACAGAUAU